UUUGCUGGGUGUUUCGCUCAUCUAUUGCUGCAAAACAAGUUACUCCAAAACGUAGCAGCCUAAAACAAUAAAUAUUUAUUAACUUAGGCAGUUUAUAUGAGUAAGGAAUUGAGAAGAGGCAUAGGAGAGUGAUUCUGGCAUGGAAUCUCUCUUGAGGUUGUAGACAGGAUCCUAGCCGGGGCUGCAGUUGUCUGAAGGUAAUUGGGGCUGGCAGAUGGCUUUGAGAUGGCUCCUCACCUGGCUGCUAGCAGGAGGCCUCAGAUUCCCCCACUGUAGGCUUCUCCAAACUAUCUGAGUUUCGGCCUCAUAAUGCUUUCACCACAGCAAGUGAGCUGAGAAACAGAGGAAGGGGCAAUGGUUUUUCGGACCUGAGCAUCAGAAGUCACAGUCUGUUAUUUCUAUGAUCUUCGCUGUGGGAAGAGACUACCCAGAGGCAUGAGUACAAGGUGGUGGGAAUCCUUGGGAAUCAUCCCGAAGACUGGCUAUCACAGUUCAGUGUCCCUGCUGUGUGCUGCAGUCAUAGGAGCUGACAGACCCUGACCCGGCCACCUGGCCCACUGACUGGCACCUCCACCCCCAUCUUGGGCACCCCAGAAGUACAGCAGAGCCAGCUGGAUACCCAGCAUCCAUCACCUCUCCUGCCAGCCCAUCAGCAGCAGUCAGAGACCUUGCUCCCUAUGGACAUGGAGUGUUUCCCCUCCCAAGCCUCACCAGCAAAGCCAAGAUUUGGAAUGGGCCCCCAGCCCCCUGGCUCAGUGGCAAGCUCUUCCACCCGAUUGUCCACUUUUUGGCUCUGGACCUUUAUUUUUUUUAUUUAAUGUAGCACUGAGUUUUUCUUUAAUACAGCACUCAAUUUGCAGACA